rnacentral:rRNA from 1 species
CCUGGUGAAAUUAGCGCUGUGGAACCACCCGAUCCCAUCCCGAACUCGGAAGUGAAACGCAGCUGCGCCGAUGGUAGUGUGGCUCAAGCCAUGCGAGAG